GUGAGGAAUUUUCCGCAAUGGGCGAAAGCCUGACGGAGCAAUGCCGCGUGAAGGAUGAAGGCCUAUGGGUUGUAAACUUCUUUUCUUAGAGAAGAAUAUCGACGGUAUCUGAGGAAUAAGCAUCGGCUAACUCUGUGCCAGCAGCCGCGGUAAGACAGAGGAUGCAAGCGUUAUCCGGAAUGAUUGGGCGUAAAGCGUCUGUAGGUGGCUUCAAAAGUCUCCUGUCAAAGAUCAGGGCUUAACCCUGGGCCGGCAGGAGAAACUCUGAGGCUAGAGUUUGGUAGGGGCAGAGGGAAUUCCCGGUGGAGCGGUGAAAUGCGUAGAGAUCGGGAGGAACACCAAAGGCGAAAGCACUCUGCUGGGCCACAACUGACACUGAGAGACGAAAGCGAGGGGAGCAAAAGGGAUUAGAUACCCCAGUAGUCC
rnacentral:rRNA from 1 species